GGGCAUAUGUGGGGCUCCCGCUGGAGGCUGUCUCCACGAGGUGGAUUUAAAAUUCUUGGUGGCCCCAGGCGCCAACAGCCCUGCUUCUCUCAGAUCCAGACCCAUGUGAGAGCUCGGGGAGUGCCCGUGGGGGACGCAGGCACCUGAACCAGCCCCAAACCCACCCCCUCCUCCCAGACUUGGAGACCAAGGGGCGACCUUCACGGCCCAGCCCGAGGUCACUGGGAAAGGUCUGGGAGACUGGGGUCAUCAGGCGCCAGCUUUGUGGGUGGAGUCCCCGUGCCCCCCAGCUCCCACCUUCCCAGUGAGGAUCCUGCUUUCCGCACCCCCUUCGCCUCCAAAGUCGACGUCUGAAAGUAACCGUGAUCGAUGACCUCGGCUAAGUUGAGAAUUAGUCUUUUCGAGAGCCCUUCCUGGUUCCACCCAUCAGGCCAUCAGGAAAAGCACAGCACAAUGGCCUUGGGGAGAUGCUGCGACCUGAAGUAGGGGGAAAGCCACCAGCCAACUCCAGGCACCUGCUCCCAGAGGCCCCAGGCCCCAGCAGCCCUCACGUAGUGCUCCCGUCACAGGCAGCUGCCCCAUGUCCCUGGAAACGUGGUGGCUGCCACAGGAAUGAGACCGCCGUGGGCAACACCUCCCUCCCCAGUCCCGGCCACCCUGGCAGGUGGGACAUUCACAGAUCCCUAGGAGAUGUCUGAGGAAGGGACGUCGUCGGACUUGCAAGACGUGCUGGGCACGAGGCUCACCUGGAGAGGGUGGGUCAGCCGCCCCGACCCACCCGGAGACCCCCCUCAGGGGACUGGGGAGGAGCAGGGGUCCGCGGUCCCCUGUGCUCCAGGGGGACUGAGGCUCAAAGGGAGCAGCCUCCGCCUGGCGGUGCUGCACUCACGGCUCUGUCCCUCCCGGUGGCUUUGCCCAGCACAUGGCCAACUCUAGGGGCCGUCCCCACAUGGGCUGGAGUCCCGGGCUUAUGUCCUUCCACAAAACCAAGCUCCCCUCAAGUGUAGCUCCACUCUGGUUCUUGGUAAUGACCCUGUUCUCUGGCCUCAGUUUCCCCAUCUGCAGGCGAAGGGGCUUGGGGUGGACCCCUCUGGUUCUAGUGUGCCGAGAUUGACCACUGAUUGCAAUGUCACCAGUGCAACCAGGAGGGGAGAGGUCGUCUGGUUUCUGCAAGUUCUCCCAGCAGAUAACCAUGCGAUUUUCUGCUUUGUCUUUGAAAGCCCCUGGCCCGGGGACUGGAGGCUUGGGGAAAACUGAAGGGGGAGGCCGGGGGCCACAGAGAGCACUAGGCGGGCACAUCAGCUCUGUCAGCUGAGGGAGACCCUCUCUGAAUAGAUGGCCGGACACAGGGAGGGGAGCCUGCAGCAAACAGGGCAGCCUGGGGUGGCGCCCCCUCGGGCCCCAAUGGGGACAGCCCAUGCGGCACCCCGCCAGCCCCGGGCUCCUGAGCUCAGAGACUAAGAAGAAAUCAAAAGCAAAUUAUUUUCGGGCUCAUAGCUCUCGAGCCCCAGCAAGAUAUUGCCCAUUCUUCAUAGCAGACAAAAACAUUUUCCAAGGGAUCAAUUUUGCCUGUAGAAGUCGCCUCCUUUCAACCCACAAUCCAUCAUAUUUCCUCAUUUGCAAUUUCUUGGUGUCGGAGUGUUUUAAGUUUCCUCUGAGUUAUUUUAUAAAGCUUUCUUUCUUCCUGCUGAGAUGAGGCGUUCCGGCCCUGCCUGGACAGCCUGAUGCCAUC
ensembl:lncRNA